rnacentral:rRNA from 1 species
AGGACGAACGCUGGCGGCGUGCUUAACACAUGCAAGUCGAACGGUGACCCGGAGCUUGCUCCGGUGAUCAGUGGCGAACGGGUGAGUAACACGUGGGCAACCUGCCCCUAGCUCUGGGAUAAGCCCGGGAAACCGGGUCUAAUACCGGAUACGAGGUCGGAGGGCAUCCUCUGACUUGGAAAGUUUUUCGGCUAGGGAUGGGCCCGCGGCCUAUCAGCUUGUUGGUGGGGUAACGGCCUACCAAGGCGACGACGGGUAGCCGGCCUGAGAGGGCGACCGGCCACACUGGGACUGAGACACGGCCCAGACUCCUACGGGAGGCAGCAGUGGGGAAUAUUGCACAAUGGGCGAAAGCCUGAUGCAGCGACGCCGCGUGAGGGAUGACGGCCUUCGGGUUGUAAACCUCUUUCAGCAGGGACGAAGCGAAAGUGACGGUACCUGCAGAAGAAGCACCGGCCAACUACGCGCCAGCAGCCGC